AUUAAAACGUUGAUAUAACAGCAGUAAAAUAUAUUCAAUUCUUAACAAGCGAUAAAGUGGGAUAGUGGAAGCCACUUAAGAAACAUAUAUUUGAAUUCGGUUAUGGAGUGAAGGGGUAAAAUCCUUUCCGUAGAUCUUACGUUACAAGAAAUUAAGUGCCAAGAUUUUUCUUGGAACUAAGGUGGUACCGCGAUUGAUCGUCCUUAGC
rnacentral:ncRNA from 1 species